GGCUGGUCCGAGUGCAGUGGUGUUUACAACUAAUUGAUCACAACCAGUUACAGAUUUCUUUGUUCCUUCUCCACUCCCACUGCUUCACUUGACCAGCCUUAA
rnacentral:Y_RNA from 1 species